UACGGGGGGGGCAAGCGUUGUCCGGAAUUACUGGGCGUAAAGGGCUCGUAGGUGGCCAACUAAGUCAGACGUGAAAUCCCUCGGCUUAACCGGGGAACUGCGUCUGAUACUGGAUGGCUUGAGAUUGGGAGAGGGAUGCGGAAUUCCAGGUGUAGCGGUGAAAUGCGUAGAUAUCUGGAGGAACACCGGUGGCGAAGGCGGCAUCCUGGACCAACACUGACGCUGAGGAGCGAAAGCCAGGGGAGCAAACGGG
rnacentral:rRNA from 1 species